AUUGAACGCUGGCGGCAUGCCUUACACAUGCAAGUCGAACGGUAACAGGUCUUCGGAUGCUGACGAGUGGCGAACGGGUGAGUAAUACAUCGGAACGUGCCUAGUAGUGGGGGAUAACUACUCGAAAGAGUGGCUAAUACCGCAUGAGAUCUACGGAUGAAAGCAGGGGAUCGCAAGACCUUGUGCUACUAGAGCGGCCGAUGGCAGAUUAGGUAGUUGGUGGGAUAAAAGCUUACCAAGCCGACGAUCUGUAGCUGGUCUGAGAGGACGAUCAGCCACCCGGGGACUGAGAGACGGCCCAGAGUCCUACGGGGGGCAGCAGUGGGGAAUUUUGGAAAAUGGGCGCAAGCCUGAUCCAGCAAUGCCGCGUGCAGGAUGAAGGCCUUCGGGUUGUAAACUGCUUUUGUACGGAACGAAAAGCCCUGGGUUAAUACCCUGGGGUCAUGACGGUACCGUAAGAAUAAGCACCGGCUAACUACGUGCCAGCAACCGCCGUAAGAC
rnacentral:rRNA from 1 species